rnacentral:lncRNA from 1 species
GACCAGGAGGGGUUUUGGGGUGACCAGGAGAGGUUUUGGGGGUCCCCUCUGCAUUUUCUCCAUACCCAGCUCAGUUUUGGGGUGGCCAGGAGGAGUUUUGGGGUGGCCAGGAGGGGUUUUGGGGUGACCAGGAGAGGUUUUGGGGGUCCCUUGUGCAUUUUCCCCAUCCCCAGCUCAGUUUUGGGGUGGCCAGGAGAGGUUUUGGGGGUCCCCUCUGCGUUUUCCCCAUCCUCAGCUCAGUUUUGGGGGUCCCCUCUGCAUUUUCUCCAUCCCCAGCUCAGUUUUGGGGGUCCCCUCUGGGUUUUAUCCAUCCUCAGCUCAGUUUUGGGGGGACCAGUUUGGGUUUUCCCCUGACCAGGAGG